rnacentral:lncRNA from 1 species
CCACUGCUAUAUAUCUGCCGCAGUCUGUCUGGCUGCAGCAAAAUAACCGGGGGGUGACGAAUAACUUGUGUAUGUUGAUACAGCAGGAGUGGGAGCCGUUUAUUGCAGGACAGGAGCAGUAUUUAUACAUUCCACAGAGCUUAUCUAAUUAGCAUAAACUAGAUACAUCAGUCAACCAAUAAGGAAUCUCUACACUUAAUGGCUCGCUUUUGUUACUUCUCAAACCACUCCCUCUGGCAUUUUGCCAGGCACCAUCCAGACUUGUUUAAGAACUCUAACAUUCCCCUGGCUAAAUGCCAGGUGUUAUUUUGACUUGUUUACAGACUCUAACAUUUCCCCCUUUUGUUUAAUUUAAAUAACAACCANUCUUGGUUCCACUGGGGUGCCUUCUUCCCUUAGUAAUUUACUUCUCACCCCUUCCAUAUUUUCGUCACAAAGACAAUACAACAUUUUAAGACAAAACAAGACACAAACAUACUGUAUCAAUCUUCUCCAUUUUCUCGAAAUGGCCAUUUUUCCUCUCGCCCUAUCUGCCUAGGGACGAGCAGAUUUGCUCCCGUCCUAUCUAUGGACGGGCAGCUUUUUUUUUCGUCACUUACCCCCAAGUGUCCCGGGGCUCCCCGUAACGGGCCACCAUCUGCUGCAGUCUGUCUGGCUGCAGCAAAGUAACCGGGGGGUGACAAUAACUUGUGUAUGUUGAUACAGCAGGAGUGGGAGCCGUUUAUUGCAGGACAGGAGCAGUAUUUAUACAUUCCACAGAGCUUAUCUAAUUAGCAUAAACUAGAUACAUCAGUCAACCAAUAAGGAAUCUCUACACUUAAUGGCUCGCUUUUGUUACUUCUCAAACCACUCCCUCUGGCAUUUUGCCAGGCACCAUCCAGACUUGUUUAAGAACUCUAACAUUCCCCUGGCUAAAUGCCAGGUGUUAUUUUGACUUGUUUACAGACUCUAACAUAU